rnacentral:rRNA from 1 species
GAUGAACGCUGGCGGCGUGCCUAAUACAUGCAAGUCGAGCGAACAGACGAGGAGCUUGCUCCUCUGACGUUAGCGGCGGACGGGUGAGUAACACGUGGAUAACCUACCUAUAAGACUGGGAUAACUUCGGGAAACCGGAGCUAAUACCGGAUAAUAUAUUGAACCGCAUGGUUCAAUGGUGAAAGACGGUUUUGCUGUCACUUAUAGAUGGAUCCGCGCCGCAUUAGCUAGUUGGUAAGGUAACGGCUUACCAAGGCAACGAUGCGUAGCCGACCUGAGAGGGUGAUCGGCCACACUGGAACUGAGACACGGUCCAGACUCCUACGCGAGGCAGCAGUAGGGAAUCUUCCGCAAUGGGCGAAAGCCUGACGGAGCAACGCCGCGUGAGUGAUGAAGGUCUUCGGAUCGUAAAACUCUGUUAUUAGGGAAGAACAAAUGUGUAAGUAACUAUGAACGUCUUGACGGUACCUAAUCAGAAAGCCACGGCUAACUACGUG